CGGGUACUUAGUGGCGCACGGGUGCGUAACGCGUGGGAAUCUACCCCUUGGUUCGGAAUAACAGUUGGAAACGACUGCUAAUACCGGAUGAUGACGUAAGUCCAAGGAUUUAUCGCCGAGGGAUGAGCCCGCGUAGGAUUAGGUAGUUGGUGUGGUAAAGGCGCACCAAGCCGACGAUCCUUAGCUGGUCUGAGAGGAUGAUCAGCCACACUGGGACUGAGACACGGCCCAGACUCCUACGGGAGGCAGCAGUGGGGAAUAUUGGACAAUGGGCGAAAGCCUGAUCCAGCAAUGCCGCGUGAGUGAUGAAGGCCUUAGGGUUGUAAAGCUCUUUUACCCGGGAUGAUAAUGACAGUACCGGGAGAAUAAGCUCCGGCUAACUCCGUGCCAGCAGCCGCGGUAAUACGGAGGGAGCUAGCGUUAUUCGGAAUUACUGGGCGUAAAGCGCACGUAGGCGGCUUUGUAAGUAAGAGGUGAAAGCCCAGAGCUCAACUCUGGAAUUGCCUUUUAGACUGCAUCGCUUGAAUCAUGGAGAGGUCAGUGGAAUUCCGAGUGUAGAGGUGAAAUUCGUAGAUAUUCGGAAGAACACCAGUGGCGAAGGCGGCUGACUGGACAUGUAUUGACGCUGAG
rnacentral:rRNA from 1 species